AAUUGUAUGGCCCAAGACAACAUCCCGACAUGCUAGAGGCCAUAGGUCCAAGAUGGCAUCUAGACAUGCUAGAAGUUAAAGCGGACAAUAUCUCGCCAAGAUGAGCAUAGAGAUCGAUCCAUCCGAGCCAUCCAAGCCCCCGGACAAUAUUAUUAGCGCUCAAGGAAAGGUUGGCUCCUAUCCACACACAUAGAAUCUCUCUUGAUUGGGAAGGGCUACUGUUAC
rnacentral:lncRNA from 1 species